UUUGUAAUUUUUGAAACUACCGCAAGGCAAUUAUCGUACCAUGUUCCUCCGAAGGAAACGUUCAACGAUAAUUUCAAGUUGAAUAUAGGUCGAGGAGUUUGUUCUUUUUAUCAAAGAUAUACUUCGUACGAUAUUUCCUUGAGACUUACUCGUAAAUCAAAGACUCGAUCGAGAUGGGAUAACAUCGAAAUUAUCGAAUGCAGAAUGAUGGAGGGAGUAUGAUAAGCUGUUCACCACCCACUCUUAGAAAGGCGUGUCUUUCUUCUUUGGAUGAUGUCAUCACCCACCUCUUUCUUCAGCAUCGACGCGACCUCAGCGUUGACCUUAAAGCGUUCACCCUCGAGCGCUCGAAAGUUCCUCUUUGUCACGCGAACUCUUCCGCUCCGCCAAGUUUGGAUCUUGCCGAUCGUGGAAUAUCGUCUUUGACCUGACUGGUCCUCGGAAAGAGAAGGCAUUUUUUUUUCAGCAAUGACGGCUAUACGAAACCUUGGGGCUAUUCGAAGCAAUGACGCGUCUAUAGACCACCGAUCGUGCAGAAUUUUUUUUUGAAGUGCUACGUGCCUGGAUAGGAACAACGUGAUUCAUCUCACGCCAAUAAAAUUGUCCUUUUUCUUUUUUCGUCGCCAAAA